rnacentral:miRNA from 1 species
GGCAGGUCCUCACCCUCUCUAGG